rnacentral:rRNA from 1 species
UGAGGAAUAUUGGACAAUGGAGGCAACUCUGAUCCAGCCAUGCCGCGUGAAGGACUAAGGCCCUAUGGGUCGUAAACUUCUUUUGACGCAGAGCAAUAAGGAUUACGUGUAGUCUGAUGAGAGUACCCGAAGAAAAAGCAUCGGCUAACUCCGUGCCAGCAACCGCGGUAAUACGGAGGAUGCGAGCGUUAUCCGGAUUUAUUGGGUUUAAAGGGUGCGCAGGCGGCGCGCCAAGUCAGCGGUCAAAGUUCCGGGCUCAACCCGGUGUCGCCGUUGAAACUGGCGUGCUCGAGUGCGUGCGAGGAAGGCGGAAUGCGUUGUGUAGCGGUGAAAUGCAUAGAUAUGACGCAGAACUCCGAUUGCGAAGGCAGCUUUCCAGCGCGCUACUGACGCUGAGGCACGA